CUUUGGGGCAGGGAGCAGAGAGGUUUCCCACAGCAUCAGGAACAGGCAGAGGGCUCAGGGCUGGCACGGCACAACACACAGCACAGCACAGCACAGCACAGCUUCUCCUGCUCAGGAACAGGGAGCUGUGGGGUUUGGGAUUGACUGGUGCAGUCCCACAGUGAUCCCCAAGUAGGUCAAGCACAGGUGUGCUGGAAGUGCCAGGAAUUCACCUGUGGAAGGCAAAGGAGGAGCUGCUGUGCUGGGCUGAGCAUGGGCUCCCUGCCCACCCCUCAGCAGGGCUGAAGUGCCUCUGGGGCCUUUUCUCCUGCCCCAAAGGGAGGUCAUUCACGUGUUCAGGAGGCACCAGACAUCAGGAACACUCAGAGGCACCAGGAACAGGCAAUCCAGCCUGCCCUGGGACCUCGGGCAGAGUUAGCAACAGGGUUGCUGUGCCACAAGGUUGUGCUGUGGAAAUCCUUUCAGGUUGCUCCCAGUGCAGUAGGGAGGGUUUCCAGCCAUGAAGAGGAAAUUAAUUCCUGCUGCAUGGAGAUUCAUUUGCUACCUCAGCCACCAGCUGGGUGAAAAAGCAGCUGAGGAUGCAGCAGUCCAGCUGUUAAUAUGUUUAUUGGGAUGAAUAUUACAUAUCAUUCUCAGAGUGGUUCUAUUUCUUUGCAGAAGGCACAAACCACAGCAGCAGGAUUUAGGAAUAUGGACAAGCCUGUGUUUCCAUAAAACCAUGUUUGAUGGCAGGACACAAUGGAGGUGUCUGUCACAUGAACACCCAGUGUUAAAGGCUUGGUUAAAACUGCCCUGUGAUCCUGUGGAACUCCUCAUGUUCUUCCAGGCUCAGCUUCCCACUUCCUUAUCCAUUCCCAGUCUGCAGACUUCUCAUUGCUGACCAGGUGUUUCCAGUUCCCUCCCUUUCUUCCUCAUGGUGUGCAGAUUCUGAUCCAAUCCUGCUGUGCCACCCCAAAGGCUCCUCCUGCUCUCCCUUUGGCGUGUCCAUGUUCCCCCUGCUCCCAUCAGCUCAUUUACCUGCUGUGACUACAAAUAUUCCUCUGCCUGUUGGAGAAGGUGUUGGGAGAUGCCAGGCAUGAGAGGACUGUCAGGAAGAGGCUCCUCCCCUGGUUAAAUGGAUCAGAAACUCCUGGGACAGGGCAUGCCAGCACAGUCUGGUUUGUAAACAUGACAGGCCUUGUUGCUGCUCUCAUCUGCAUGUGAUGAUCCAGGGCAAGACUUGAGGGAAUCCAGGGAAGACUGUGCUGGAAUAACUUCCAUCUUCUCCUCCUCACACACCAGAAACCUGAUCCUCUGACAGAAUAGCCUUGUGAAUUUCCCAUCAUAAAUAGAUCCAGGAAAACUCUCAGUUGCUCCAAUCCAUUUGUGACCAAAAGAGAUAGAAAUCUGCUCACAGGGGCCAAGCAGAUCAUGUGUCCUGAUGGGUCUCUGUCUCUGCAGCAGAGCUGCUGCUUGUCUUAUCUUGAUAAAACCCCUCCAGAACAUCUCUUUCCAGCUCAAUGAGUUGCUGUGUAAUAUCUUCAGUAUUUGCUGUUGCUGCUGGACUGGAAGCAGACCUGUGGAAAUUCCUGUCUGUGGAAAAUGGAGAUGUAGGAGAGUGUGUGGGAUGAACCAUCACCCGCCUCACCUGGAGCUGCUCUGAUCAGCCUGGGGCUGGCAAGGAGCUGCUGCUCCUGCCUCGUGUACAGAGCCUGUCCUGAGCAUCUCUGCUCUUCAUUCAGUGCUUUGCAGUGCCUGCUCAGCCUUUCAUUUCUUCAGUGGCAGCCUCUGGCUCCAUCCCGAUAACAAUUCCUGGGGCUCAGUCUCUUGUCAGGCACUUUCUCUCCACAGUAUUUUAUUUUGCUCAUUGACAGCAGCAGCUUUCUCUGGAGAAGCAAAAUCCCUCCUUCCCUCCCCCUUCUCCCCUGGGCUCCUGUUAAAUAACCUUGUGCACAGCCAAGCCAGAAAUGCUCUGGGAGAAAAACAGGCUGAAAGCCCCAGUGCUGCCUGGGCACUAACCCAGGAGCAAAUCCAGCAGGAGGAUGAUGAGGGACUGGACCAUGAGGACAGACUUGGAGGGUGGCAGAGCCCCAGAGCAGCUGCCCAGGAUGCUGUGGGGUCUCCUUGUCUGGAGAUGUCCAAACCCCACCCGGGCCCCUUCCUGUGCCAUGGUGCAGCACCCUGCAGCAGCACAGGUUCCCUCCCUCCCACUCUGAGAUUUGGGUUCUCCAUGGUGACAGAACCUUUGUGCUCCUGUGCCAGGCUAGGGCAGAGAGUCCUGGCCUGUGGUGCCAAAGGGGAGUCCAAGCUCUGGGUAUGGAGCCAUCCUCAGGGGUGUGAGUUUUAGGAACCCUGUGUCAUUUCUGUGCAAAGGGAAAGGAGGGGGCGAGGCAGAUCCUCUGUGGGAUGCAGGACCUGCAGAGAGGUCAGGGCUGGCCCCCACCCCAUCCCCUCAGCUCUGAGCUGCAGCUCCUGGUGCUCUCCAGAGGCUCCAGUCUGUGAUCCUGGCAUUGUUUUGCCAGCUGGGCUCUGCUGUGGCCUCUGUUCAGCCCCAAGGAUUGAGGCAGCUCAAUGUCACUGCAGAAGGAGCCGAAAUUGUUCCCAACUUGCCUGAUCCCUUUGGUGUUGGAUCUGUUUUGGCUGCCUCCAAAGCACGGCCUGCAGUCAGCUCAGGAGAACUCUCUGUCUUGCUUCAGCUUUGUUUGAUCAGGGAUACUUGGUGAAAAUUAGUCCAGAUUAACUAAUGGCAAGGAUUGAAGGGUGCAAAUUAGUCCAAAUUAACUAAUGGCAAGGAUUGAAGGUGGAUCACUUCACUUACACUGGCUUGGCUGCUCUUGGUCAGAACAAAAGUGGCCUUUAAUUGUUUACUUCAGAGCUAAAAUAAAUAAAAACUUGCUUCUAGCUGUAUCCACACAAGGUUUAAUCCAGUUUAUCUAUGCAAAUCUUACUCAGAUGAGCUGCCUUGGUCAUCUCCCUGUCAGCAAGUUUUCUGAAAGCAAGGAUAUUCCAGAGAAAGGCAGAACUUGGUCCAUGGAUCCUCAGUGUGUGUGCCACACACAUUUCCCUGGGGAAGCCUAUGGAGUGUGACAGCUUUUGCCAUCCAUGGCAGGAGUCAAAGUGGUCCUUUUAAGACAUCUCUUUAGCCCCUUAAGUCCUGGAGCCCUCCAUUCCUGUCCCCUGUCUUGGUUUCUUUAUCCAAGACCUCUCAGUGGUGGAUAAGCACCAAUUUCCUUGUCUAGAAGAGCUGGAGAAGGGAAAAAACCAACCCCAAUUUGUAUAAGUAUAGGGAAAAGCGAGCACUGCUAAUAUUAGUGUUGCUUUUGUAUUAAUAAUUCUCUGAUAAAUGCCUGGGUUUUUUUUCUUUGCCAGUCUAAAAAUACUCCCCCAGCUUGGCAGCAUGUUGUGACUGUGAUAAUGAAAGUGCAGCAGCAUGUGCCUGCCACAGCUCCUGCCCUUUCCUCCUGGGCUGGCAGAGCUCUGGGGUUGUCUGAGGGAAGAGAGGGCACACAUACUGAGAUGAAGGAAAGCUGCUCCUGACUCCUGCCUUCCAAAAGGCCACAGCCUGGGAAUUAUCUCAAUUUCAGUGGAACCCAGUGUGUUACGGAAAUGUCACGUCCCUGAGCCAGGGAGAGAGGUGGAGUACAAAACCAAAACAAGAAUGCCACCAAAUUUAAACAGAAGCAGCUCAUUUUCAACUGAUUGAAGUUAAAUAUACAUUUUUUAAAAUAUUUUUUUUAAUCUCCAAGGCUAUGGAACUCCCUGCUAGAAGUACUUUUGGAGCCAAAGGGACUCUGCAUGUGUUUAGGUGAUGAAUGUGUGGUUUGGCAGUGCCCUUGGCUGGGAGAGGACCCUGUUAUUGUUACAGUUUAAUUGUUGUUAUUGGUGCUGUACUGCACCUGUGCACCACAACUUUCCCUCUGACACAACAUUCAAAGCAGAAGCUGCAGCAUGAGGUUCACUGAGUGCCUGCCCAGAUGCUGGAGAUCAUCCUUGUGCUGGCUUAUGGCUUGUGCCCACACAGGAUGUUUGGGUGUAGCUCUGCCAGCUGAGCGUGGGGUGGGUUUGGGCUGAGCUCCUGCUGGGAGGUGUGGGAAAUGGAUUUGUAGGGAAUUCUUAAAGCUUGACAGAAGGCUCAUAUAGUAUGCAUCUGUAUUGGGUAUUGUAUUGUCUCACCCUUCACAUAAGACUGAA